AGCCUUUUCUUAGGGAGUUUGGGUGGUUGUUGGGAUUGAAGGAGUUGAAGGCCCCAAAGGAGAGCAGGUAUAUAAUCACAUAUUUCCAAAACAACCACGACAAGUCAGAUUGCAUGUCAAAUUAUUUAUGUCCUACAUGGUUGACAGGGUGACAUAGGGCCAUCUGGCAGAAGAGGUACCCCAGGUCUGCCAGGAAUGCCUGGUUUGUUUGGUGUAAAGGGUCAAAAAGGAUAUGAGGGCCUGCCAGGUCCCAUAGGAGAAAGAGGACCACCUGUGAGUACAUCUUCACUGCUGCAUACACUACCAGUCAAACGUCUGGUUUUAAUACCCUCAUGACUGCUUUGUUUAUGUUGUCAUCAUCAAAAAAAGCCACUUCA
rnacentral:lncRNA from 1 species